AGGAUAAACGCUGGCGGCGUGCCUAACACAUGCAAGUCGAACGCCCUACGCAAGUAGGGAGUGGCGGACGGGUGAGGAACACGUGGGUUAUCUGCCUUUCGGUGAGGAAUACCAGCGAGAAAUCGCUGACAAUACCGCAUACGGUUCUUUCGAGAGAGAGAACGAAAGUCGCAAGACGCCGGGAGAUGAGCCUGCGCCCGAUUAGUUAGUUGGUGGGGUAAAAGCCUACCAAGACUGCAAUCGGUAGCUGGUCUGAGAGGACGAUCAGCCACACUGGGAUUGAGAACGGCCCAGACUCCUACGGGGGCAGCAGUGAGGAAUUUUCGUCAAUGGGGGAAACCCUGAACGAGCAACGCCGCGUGCAGGAAGAAGGUUUUCGGAUCGUAAACUGCUUUUCUGUGGGAAGAGAACGGACGGUACCACAGGAAGAACGCCCCGGCUAACUACGUGCCAGCAGCCGC
rnacentral:rRNA from 1 species